AGAUUGAACGCUGGCGGCAUGCCUAACACAUGCAAGUCGAACGGGAGUAGCAAUACUCUAGUGGCGGACGGGUGAGGAAUACGUAGGAAUUUGCCCUUAAGUGGGGGAUAACCCGGGGAAACCCGGAUUAAUACCGCAUGACCUCGAAAGAGCAAAGUGGGGGAUCGCAAGACCUCACGCUUUUGGAGAAGCCUACGUCGGAUUAGCUAGUUGGUGAGGUAAUGGCUCACCAAGGCGACGAUCCGUAACUGGUCUGAGAGGAUGAUCAGUCACACCGGAACUGAGACACGGUCCGGACUCCGUACGGGAGCAGCAGUGGGG
rnacentral:rRNA from 1 species